rnacentral:rRNA from 1 species
UGGUGAUGAUGGCGGAAGGGAACCACGCGUACCCAUCCCGAACACGACCGUUAAGCCUUCCAGCGCCGAUGGUACUUGGACCGCAGGGUCCUGGGAGAGUAGGACGUCGCCA